AUCCGCAGAACUGAUUGCGAUGCUUUCUUGUUGUGAGUCAAGACGAUUCGUUGGUUCGCUCCCGCUUCGUUGGGGUGAGGUUCUCUGAGUGAAAGUCAAGCCACGUCCGACCGCUAGCGCUGCUUAUGCUGGAAAGAGGGUGAUUUAGCAAUAUUGUUUUCGUCUACCAAAUCUACUCACAAG